AGAUAAUUGUGUUCAUAAAGGGAACUGGACGUUUUGCGGAAAAUAAUUUAUUUAGAAAUUAGACCGUCAAAACAUUAUUUUGCGGCAUUAUAAUUCCCACGCGUUUGCAUAUAAUGUAUUUCUGCAGUACAUGAAGUCACAAAACCCGUUCUCUUUCAAGUCUACUAUGUACUUGUCCACUGUUAAGUUCUUGCAAGAUCUGAUCGGGUAGCAGCUAAAGAGUCUAUCGGUCAGGUCUGUCUGAUCGCAGUAGGGCUCUGGGAUCUUGCCUCCCCGCGUCACUGGCCUGUUCCCCAUAACCUGCGUCUUGAGAGCACUUCAGUGCAAAGCGCUCUCUGUACCGAUCACUUUCUCUUCUCCCUUUUUGAAGAGUACUCCGGAGUUACGUCAGACUCAGACAAAAAAAGUGCAGGGCAAGCAAGUGAGUCGCUAAGGAGCCGUACGUAUUCAUUUCUGCUAAACCCGGGUAAGAAAGCUGACUGCUCAACGAUCAAUGCCAUUUAAAAGCAAAACUUAUAUGCCAACAUGUGGUAAGUCAUCUCUUUUGUGCAACUUUCAGCAGAGGGGAUGUUGGCUCUCUUUUUUUCACAUGACAGGUCAAUGUAUAUGUCAUAAAUGCGCGUGAAUAACGGGAUUCAUAAACGACUCCCUCUCUCACCGUUAAAUUACAUGUCAUGGUGAAAUAUCUGAUAUUUCUAAUUCACAGACGUCUCCCCGAUUUUUAAAAAAAUUCAAUUAAUUAUUUUUGCUAAUCUCAAAACAAAAUGCCUCACACUCGGAACAGGAACCCUAGUCCCAUCCCAGAAGUAACAUGGGACACGGGACUGAAGGAAAUGAACGAAACUUGGAAGGGCGCGAUCGCCUGCUUCGGGGUAGCGAUCUUCUUUGUUAUGACUAUCGGGAUCAUUUAUUGGCAAGUUGUGGAUCAACCCAAUAAAAACUGGAUCCUAAGGGGGAGUUUCAGCGGAAUGAUCUGGGAGAGAAGGAGUAACUCUCUUGUCAUACAAACAGCGUCAGAGGACAAGACCUUCGUGGAGAUCUACGUGGGGGACAUGGGGACCCCCGACAAUGACGUUCCGUUUGUCAGAAAUUUGUGCUGGUAUAACAAGACCGAGUUCUGUUACACGUGGGAUUCGGUGGCAGACUUAAAGGUAUCGGUGGAAUCGGACGAGGAGUCGGAGAUGGAAUGCUACAGAAUUACCUGGAUACCUCUGCAUUGCCAUGUGGAAUUAAAGGACUGCUUCUCCAUGGCUAAUGUCUCCUGGUAUGGCGGAGCAGGCGUACAUGCACAGAGCUGGCCGAUAAAUGCGGUGAACGUGUCCAUGCAGCCUUUCACCGUGAGCAAUUUGAAAGACAAUCCCUUAGGUUACGGAUCGGUUCUGGAGCGUUACUUCUUGGGCUCUACAGGCGUAGCUGUGCUGGUCGACCCAGAGGUGUCCCUUCAUGUUGGUGUUGACAGCCAACAGCAAUACUGCCUAAGGACCCCACCCAAUGCAGAGCAGCUACCCCUCCAGUACAUGGUGUGCGUGGGCCCGAACGCCAAAGUCGUCCACCAGGAGGCAGUACGUCAGCUCUCCAACCAUAAACGGGUGCUGCCCAACAUGGACAUAUUGCGGUCUCCCUUCUGGAAGCUGCUUGUGAACGUGGACUCAGGACGGAAGCUGGAGAGAGAGCUGAGGUCCUUCUCCAAUCGUCUGAAAAGACACCAUUUAGGAGAGGGGAUCAUUACUCUCAAUGAACAUUCCACAUAUCUACUCUCGAGCAUGCAGGAGCAGGCCGAAAAGAUGAUGUUCAAGAGACAGACCAGGAACGUUCGUCUGGUACAGUUUCUGAACAUUUCCGUCACACUCUCCCCGUUCCUGAGCGUGGACACGCCGCAGUUCCACAACUCCCUGCAGGAGGGCACUGAGGCCUACUGGCUCACCCUUCCUGUGGCCCAACACGGACGUCUGGUCCCCUUAUUGACGCAGUGGAAAGGAAAAUUCUGCGUGAAGCUGAAUAUCACCAACCCAGCAGCAGUCAACUGGUUUCUGAAUAAGGUGGGCGGUCUGCAUGCCCGACUGGGCAUGGAAUAUGUCAUCUUGGAGGGCGGGGAGGGAAACCCUUUCGAGGAACAGGCCAUGCAGACACCGAAAGCUCUUGCCGGCGAUGAGUACAUCGGGCUGUUAGCAGGAGUCGCAGCGAAGAUUGGAGACACAGCAAUAGUGACGUCAGGGACAAGGUCAAGCCAUGUUCCAUUGUUUAUCCGGAUGAACCCGUUGCAUAAUGACUGGAGCUAUUCUGGGCUGAAGGGCCUUAUUCCAUCCGUCCUGCACUAUAGUCUUCUGGGAUAUGACUUCUUCAUUCCUGAUGCAGUAGGAGGUUCCUUGUCAAGAAAUCUUUUCACAGAUGAGGAGCUCUUCAUCCGUUGGCUGGAAAUUGCCUCAUUUCUCCCCACCAUCACUUUCCAGAUUCCACCAUGGGUGUAUGGAGACAACCAGGUCCUGAACCUCACGAGAGUUUACAUAGCCAAGCAUCAAGCCUUCGUCGUGCCUCUCAUAGUGAAAUACGCCAAAAAGUGGAAGGAGCAGCAAAGCCCGAUAUACAGGCCUCUCUGGUGGAUCAGUCCCGAUGACCCCAUCACAUUCACCAUCGACGAUGAGUUCCUCAUUGGCGAUGAGGUACUCAUCGCACCGGUGACGGAGAAAGGAGCUCUACAUAGAAACAUUUAUCUGCCAGGGAACGGUUUGAAGUGGGAAGAUCAAAACAACUCUCUUGUUUUCGACGGAGGGACGCUUCUAGAAAGCUAUCCAGUUGGUCUUGAAGACGUCGCUGUCUUCAUGCGAAGACAUUCAUGAAAUGUAUAGAUCCGACUCUUUUUUUUUUUUUUUGUGAUAUUUUCCACUCUUGGUGUUCUGGUUGCACUUUGCAGCAAGACCACUGACAGUAUCUCAAGACACAGUCUUGAGAUUAAGUUAAAAAAAUAUUUUUAUACUUGCACUUUACAAAUUCAAGAUUAUUUCUUUACUCCAGUUUCUCCUUUUUUUAAACGGUAUGACCACCACAUCCAGCUCUUGUUAUUUCCUGUUCACACCAACAGAAAGGCACCGCAGAGUAGGAUGGUGUAGGACUGGGAGCCUGGCGAUGCCAGCAAGCUGAACAUGCUAAAAGGAAUGCUGGGGGGGGAAGAGUUUAAGGAUUUUUAUAGAUUAAGUGAUGCAGGAAUGGAGUAGAGUGCAUGGCGUAACUUUCCAAACCCCUAAAGGCGGCACAAAAACCCCAAAGAACAAACAUAACGUCAAUUUUAAGCAGAACUUUCAUUACUGUAUGAUUUAUUGCUUUGGUCUCAGUUGUUAGUUGUUUUUAAUAGGAGCCACAGAGUAUGAAACCAAAGGCCUGUUAUGACCCACGAUUAUGCCAGAACCACCAUGAGGGGAACCUUAUCAUGUUUAAACUGCAGGAGCCACAACUGGGAGCCACAGCAUCUCAAAUGUGAAGAGGGAGGUUGGAUGUGGAAUUCAUUGGCCAGGCUGUGUUCUAUUCUAGCCCUGGUUCACGUCGUAUAAAUGGAUUGUUUUCCUUCCGUCCCAUUGCAAAGCGCGCCUUUUGGCACAGCGAGGACUCGCAAGGCUACAUUAUUUGCACAUUGGCUCCUGCUUUUCGGAGGUUCGAGACAGAUUGUGGAAUGACGCCUUAACUCUACAGUUAGGUGCGGCAAGUAAUCAGACUGAAAUAUACAGCUUAAACGUAACUGGCUGCUGAGAAUACAGCUUGAUAUAUUCAUCACCCAAUAUAUUAAAUGUAAAGUAUAAGCACCUUUUAUAUACUGAAACCUUGAAUUAUGUAAUGUGCUGGAUAAUUGCUAACAAUCAUUCUUUGGAAGCAUUUUUCUUAUAAGACACCUGUGGUCUGUGAUUGGACAAAGGCCUGUGUCUAUAUAUCAGGCUUGCUGUGUCCUCAUUUGCAAAGGUGGACAGUUAAGGUCUAGAAAGUAAAAAUCCAGACCAAGAAUUUGUUUCAACCAACCAGAUGAGUACUCUAUGAUUGAGACUCCAUCAAUCCAUCUAUCGAUACAUUUUCUUAACUGCUUGUCC